rnacentral:rRNA from 1 species
UACGUAGGGGGCGAGCGUUGUCCGGAAUGAUUGGGCGUAAAGGGCGCGUAGGCGGCUUUGCAAGUCAGUAGUGGAAGUCCAUUUUUCAAGGAUGGAAGUGCUACAGAAACUGCGGAGCUUGAGUGCAGGAGAGGUUAUCGGAAUUCCCGGUGUAGCGGUGAAAUGCGUAGAGAUCGGGAGGAACACCAGUGGCGAAGGCGGGUAACUGGACUGCAACUGACGCUGAGGCGCGAAAGUGUGGGGAGCAAACAGGAUUAGAUACCCUGGUA